CUAUUAAGAGAAAACAGUGAGUGAGAGACAGAGAGAGACGGAGAGAGAAGGAUCAAGUGAUAUCCUUCUCUACUCUACUCAUAUAACCACAAUUACAAUUCAGAUUAGCAUUUUCUCUUCAAUAAUCACCAGUUCAACAUCUCCCAAAAUGCAUCUUAAUCACAAAACAGUAUCUUUAGAACUGUAAUAGAAAAUAAAAGUCUCACUUUCUUCAAUCUUAAAGAGUAGAAAUCACCACCCCACAUCUCUCUUCUCUAGAGCAAAAAUGCUGCACAUAAACUGUAUUGUCCUAAUUCUUCUUCUGGGCUCAUUUUCUCCACCUGGAUUGGCAAUGCUCAACCUCACUUUUCCCACUCCUCAUCCCAACCCUGAAGAAGUUGCUCAAGAAGUUCAAAGAAGAGUAAAUGCUUCCAUGUCAAGAAGGGAUAUGUUGCAAAUAUCUGAAAAUGACCAAGCCACAUGCCUAACUGGCAACCCCAUAGACGAUUGCUGGAAAUGUGAUCCAGACUGGGCCAACAACCGCCAGAGGCUAGCCGACUGCGCCAUAGGUUUCGGCCAGUAUGCAAUGGGAGGCAAGAAUGGUGAGUACUACAUAGUCACUGAUUCCUCUGACAAUGAUGCUGUUAACCCAAAACCAGGCACUCUAAGAUAUGCAGUGAUACAGGAAGAGCCUUUAUGGAUUGUGUUUCCAAGUAAUAUGCUCAUUAGGCUCUCACAGGAGCUCAUUUUCAAUAGCUACAAGACUCUUGAUGGACGUGGGGCCAAUGUGCACAUUGUGGGUGGUGGCUGCAUUACUCUGCAGUAUAUAAGCAAUGUUAUUAUUCACAAUAUUCACAUCCACCAUUGUGUUCCUUCAGGUAAUACUAAUGUGCGUUCAAGCCCAACCCACUAUGGGUACCGCACAAUAUCGGACGGUGAUGGGAUUUCCAUAUUUGGAUCAAAGGAUUUAUGGAUUGAUCACUGCUCACUCUCUCACUGCAAGGAUGGUUUGAUUGAUGCAGUGAUGGGAUCAACAGGAAUCACAAUAUCAAACAAUUAUUUCUCUCAUCACAAUGAGGUGAUGCUGCUGGGUCACAGUGAUGAUUAUUUGCCUGAUUCUGGGAUGCAGGUGACCAUAGCAUUUAACCAUUUUGGAGAGAAAUUGGUGCAGAGAAUGCCAAGGUGUAGAAGAGGGUAUAUUCAUGUGGUGAAUAAUGAUUUUACAAGGUGGGAAAUGUAUGCUAUUGGAGGUAGUGGGAAACCUACAAUUAACAGCCAAGCCAAUCGCUACACUGCUCCUUCUGAUCGCAAUGCAAAAGAGGUAACAAAGAGAGUGGACACAGCAGAAGGGCAUUGGAAGGGAUGGAAUUGGAGAUCAGAAGGAGACGUAAUGGUAAAUGGAGCAUUUUUUGUAACUUCAGGAGAAGAACUAGAGGUUAAGUAUGAGAAGGCCUACAGUGUGGAGCCCAAGUCUGCUGCUUUUAUUGAUCUAAUCACCAUGCAUGCAGGCGCUCUUGGUGUUGGUGGAAGGUAAUAUUAUAUCUCUCUCUCUCUUCUUUCUGCUUUUUCUCUUUAGUUUUACCCUCCUUUUCUUUUGCUCUGAACCCUCGCUACCCUACUAAUUGACACCAAUGGUCCCAAUUAAUUAAUCAAAUCCAAGUAUCCAAUGUUCCAAACUCAUCUCUGUCAACUUAAAAAAUUUUCCACUGGCUUGACCUUGAUUUUGGGCUUUGCUAGUGUUGCUGGACUUCAAGAUGGCUAUUUCCUCAGGCAUUAAAAUAGUCUCAUUUGUUAGGCUUGAAAAGUUCCCAGUAUGAGUUUUAAUUCAAGACCCAAGGCCCAAUCUCUCUUUUAGGAGCUUGAAUCCAUCAACAAUCACAAUACUAUUCAAGUUCUUUCAUUCCAUGGUUUUCAUUUGUGAAUUCCAUGAUAGUUUAAAUUCUUGAUCUCAUGUAUUAUAUGUAGUAGGACUUGACCACUUCACCAUUUUUUUUUAUAAUGAUUCUUCUUAUUUUAUUUGGUGAAAUUUAAAGAUUGCAAGAAUAAUAUGGGUUAUUAUUUGUUAAUCAUAAAGAACUAAUGCAGAAAAACCAUUGUGUAUUUACGAUAGAAGAGGAUAUUAUGUGAAAUAUAAAUGAGUAAUAUGUAUUGAUGAGCAGGGACAACAACCUGGGAAUGUGGAGCACUGGAGCCAAUGGAGGUGGUGCCGGUCAAGAUUCCGGCGAUGAUUACUUUGAUGACUAUUCAGGAAGCAGUUCUCCAUUGUCACCUCCCUCCGCCAGUGGUCUUUUUUCCAUUUUUAUUGCUCUGUUUUGCUUGAUUUCUUUUCACAUUAUAGUCCUUACGUCCAUGUUAUAGCAAGCGAUAAGUUGUGCUUUCUUUCAAUUAACAUCAGCUUCUGCUGGAAACGGAACUGUACAUUAUGUUUUUCAACAAUUCUUGCAACAUUAAUUCCCAGCUUAAUUUCUGCUAAAA
rnacentral:misc_RNA from 1 species